UCCAGAGCUUUCGAGGAAGGUUUCUUUAACUCGAAUUCAUCCGCCUGAUAAUUUUCUUAUAUUUUCCUAAAGAAGGAAAAGAAGCGCAUAGAAGGGAAGUGACAUAAUUUGUUAGAAUCCUUUGUUACGACUAUGAGGAAUUUGGAGCUCAGUUGAAAAGCCUAACUGCGUCGCGGGAGGUUGGGCGCGGCGAACUACUUUUGGCGGCGCACGGAGACGGCGCCUACGUAAAAAGUGAUAGGUGACGCAACAUACGUUGCAUAAAUUUGAGCUCCGCCGAAAGGGAGCGUUUAGGGGCGAGAGGCUUUGUUGGGUGAAGGUGUCUUGGACUUCAGUGGCCGGACGUGAUUGGCGAUUCGCAGCAUCGUCGUAUCCGCUAACAGGUCAAAAUGCAGAUCUUCGUGAAGACCCUGACCGGCAAGACCAUCACCCUGGAGGUGGAGCCCAGUGACACCAUCGAAAAUGUGAAGGCCAAGAUCCAGGAUAAGGAAGGCAUCCCCCCCGAC